GAAACUUGGGAAGAACACCCAUCUAUCACUCAAGCUGUUCCAGUGAGCUUGUCCAAUGAAAAUGAGCAAGAGGAUGCUUGGGGUGAAGACCCAUCUAACUUUCAAGAGAACACAAUCUCUGAACAGAGACCCUCAAGUACCCACCAGGCAAGAACAAAUAGUGCUUCUGGUGUGAGACGAUGGAGCUGCA